rnacentral:piRNA from 1 species
UCUUGCCUCGGCACCUGGGUAAUCCUCCGU